CCCAGACUCCUACGGGAGGCAGCAGUGGGGGAUAUUGCACAAUGGGGGAAACCCUGAUGCAGCGACGCCGCGUGGGUGAAGAAGUAUUUCGGUAUGUAAAGCCCUAUCAGCAGGGAAGAAAGAAGACGGUACCUGACUAAGAAGCCCCGGCUAACUACGUGCCAGCAGCCGCGGUAAUACGUAGGGGGCGAGCGUUAUCCGGAUUCACUGGGUGUAAAGGGAGCGUAGACGGCCGUGCAAGCCAGGAGUGAAAGCCCGGGGCCCAACCCCGGGACUGCUUUGGAAACUGAGCAGCUAGAGUGCAGGAGAGGUAAGUGGAAUUCCUAGUGUAGCGGUGAAAUGCGUAGAUAUUAGGAGGAACACCAGUGGCGAAGGCGGCUUACUGGACUGUAACUGACGUUGAGGCUCGAAAGCGUGGGGAGCAAACAGGAUUAGAUACCCUCGUA
rnacentral:rRNA from 1 species